AGUGAACGCUGGCGGUAGACCUAACACAUGCAAGUCGAACGGCAGCACAGUAAGAGCUUGCUCUUACGGGUGGCGAGUGGCGGACGGGUGAGGAAUACAUCGGAAUCUACUUUUUCGUGGGGGAUAACGUAGGGAAACUUACGCUAAUACCGCAUACGACCUACGGGUGAAAGCAGGGGAUCUUCGGACCUUGCGCGAUUGAAUGAGCCGAUGUCGGAUUAGCUAGUUGGCGGGGUAAAGGCCCACCAAGGCGACGAUCCGUAGCUGGUCUGUGAGGAUGAACCGGCCCACUGGAACUGAGACACGGUCCCGACCCCUAAGGGAGGCAGCAGUGGGGAAUAUUGGACAAUGGGCGCAAGCCUUAUCCAGCCAUACCGCGUGGGUGAAGAAGGCCUUCGGGUUGUAAAGCCCUUUUGUUGGGAAAGAAAAGCAGCAGGUUAAUACCCCGCUGUUCUGACGGUACCCAAAGAAUAAGCACCGGCUAACUUCGUG
rnacentral:rRNA from 1 species